GCUCACGUUGUCGGCCACUGUGGACAGAACCGAUUGCUCCGCCGUUUCCUCCAUUGACGCUUCGGUUGCCGUCCGCUGAACUUGCCGUUGUUCGACAAGCUUCGCGCCUAGCGCUACCAUCUGCCGUUCCUUGUGCUCCAUCGCAGCUUUAGCAAGGUUGUUCUCGCUUGCCUGCAACAAGCCCGCGCUCGCGCCGGCCGGGAGCGGAACGGCGGCUCUCGAUCCCAAAAGAAUCCGGCCUUUGAAAACGUCUGUAACCCAAUCCUUUGUUAGACCGGAGAAAAACGGCGUCGGUUGACCGACCAUAAAGGCGGCUUCCUCAACGUCGGCGCUAUUCCGAUAAUGCGCCAAGUUAAUCGACGCCAUGUCAUACAGGGGAGGC
rnacentral:misc_RNA from 1 species